CACACAGCAGGGUCAUAUAUCCUACCACAUUAUGGAACAGACACACAGACAGUUCAUGUAUCCUACCACAUUAUGGAACAGACACACAGACAGGUCAUAUAUCCUACCACAUUAUGGAACCCACAGACACACAGACAGUCAUAUAUCCUACCACAUUAUGGAACAGACACACAGACAGUUCAUAUAUCCUACCACAUUAUGGAACAGACACACAGCAUGGUCAUAUAUCCUACCACAUUAUGGAACAGACACACAGACAGGUCAUAUAUCCUACCACAUUAUGGAACAGACACACAGCAGGAUCAGCCAGGAGGGGUGUAUGAUGUCUAAAAGCGUUGUGAUUAUUUAGAGAGCGUCGCCAUAGUGACAUGAUGUGCUGGAUUCAGCACUAUAGACAGACUCCCCAGUGUUAUAAAUAUCUAAUGGUUUCUAAUGGAGUUCCUGCUGUGA
rnacentral:lncRNA from 1 species